rnacentral:rRNA from 1 species
AUGCGAUUCCCUAAUGCUAGUGAAGUAGAAAGGGCAUGUUGUUAUGGAAAACGCUUGCCUCUGAAGGAAGGGAACAUUGUUGUAUGUAUUACUCCUUGGACUGCUUCUAUUGGAGCCAAAGGCAUUAUGGAGAAAGCAUGGGUUAGGGUUCGCAACAUUCCCAUAGAGAAAAGAUGCACUGAACAUAUAGCUUAUGUUGGAGCUCUAGUUGGGAUUACUUUAGAAGUUGAUGAAUCG